AGAACGAACGCUGGCGGCAGGCUUAACACAUGCAAGUCGAACGGCUGUAGCAAUACAGCAGUGGCAGACGGGUGAGUAACACGUGGGAACCUUCCUAGGGGUACGGAACAACUCAGGGAAACUUGAGCUAAUACCGUAUACGUCCGUAAGGAGAAAGAUUCAUCGCCCCUAGACGGGCCCGCGUCGGAUUAGGUAGUUGGUGGGGUAACGGCCUACCAAGCCUACGAUCCGUAGCUGAUCUGAGAGGAUGAUCAGCCACACUGGGACUGAGACACGGCCCAGACUCCUACGGGAGGCAGCAGUGGGGAAUCUUGGACAAUGGGCGCAAGCCUGAUCCAGCCAUGCCGCGUGAGUGAAGAAGGCCUUAGGGUUGUAAAGCUCUUUUACCAGGGACGAUAAUGACGGUACCUGGAGAAUAAGCCCGGCAAACUUCGUGCCAGCAGCCGC
rnacentral:rRNA from 1 species